rnacentral:rRNA from 1 species
UACGAGGGGGGCAAGCGUUGUCCGGAAUUAUUGGGCGUAAAGCGCGCGCAGGCGGUUCUUUAAGUCUGGUGUCUAAGUGCGGGGCUCAACCCCGUGAUGCACUGGAAACUGGGGAACUUGAGGGCUUCAGAGGGACACGGAAUUCCGGGUGGAGUGGUGAAAUGCGUAGAGAUCCGGAGGAACACCAAAGGCGAAGGCAGUGUCCUGGGGAGUACCUGACGCUCAGGUGCGAAAGCCAGGGGAGCGAACGGG